CAGGCACCUGUAAGUGCUCAGCCCAGAUUCUGCGUCUGGCCAGGCCUGCUUGCUGCCCCUCUGCAAACAGGUGUUAAUCUCUAGGAAGUUACCUGAUCAACUUCCUGUUGCUCAUUUCCGUCUUAUUCGGCUUCCCAGGGAACCAACUUGCAAUACAAGUCUCUGCGUUAUCUUUUCCUUGGCCCUAAGACCUCAGAAACCCUGAACCACCCAGGUUCCCAGAGAAGCCUCCAUCCUGACCCGAGGCCUGGGGUUUCUUUUAGGAGGCGGGAGCAGAACGUAAGAACCCAGGAAGCUGUGCCUCCGGGACUGGAGGGGGAGCGCCUGCCCACCAGGGGGCAGUGUCCACCCGCGUGUGAACAGCGCCGGCGGCCCGGAGGUGAACAGCAGCGUUGCCCUGAUGCGAGGGACCCUGCGUGCGCGUGGACAUGCUUGUACCAGGGGACCUGGCUGCUAACUCAUUGUGUCCCUUGGAGAAGAGUUUGAGACAGUCUCCUGACUUUACAGAAGAGGAGCCACCC
rnacentral:lncRNA from 1 species